rnacentral:pre_miRNA from 1 species
UUAGUACUCCCACCGUCUCAAAAUUCUUGUCUUAGAUUUUUCUAGAUACGGAUGUAUCUAAUACUAAAACGUGACUUGAUACAUCCGUAUUUAGACAAAUUUAAGACAAGAAUUUUGGAACGGAGGGAGUAUAAA